rnacentral:sRNA from 12 species
CGCCUAAACCCUAUUUUAUAGGGCAUGGCGUAAAAUCCCAUCGAAGAUACCGAGCUCCACGUUCGGCAAACUCUUCGAUGGGUUGCACUCCGAAAGGCGUGCAAGGGCGAAAGCCCU